rnacentral:rRNA from 1 species
GGUUCGAAGGCGAUCAGAUACCGCCCUAGUUCUGACCGUAAACGAUGCCACCUGACGAUCCGCCAGGGUUACUACCAUGACUCGGCGGGCAGUCCCCGGGAAACCCAAGCCUUCGGGUUCCGGGGGAAGUAUGGUUGCAAAGCUGAAACUUAAAGGAAUUGACGGAAGGGCACCACCAGGAGUGGAGCCUGCGGCUUAAUUUGACUCAACACGGGGAACCUCACCCGGCCCGGACACCGCGAGGAUUGACAGAUUGAGAGCUCUUUCUCGAUUCGGUGGGUGGUGGUGCAUGGCCGUUCUUAGUUGGUGGAGCGAUUUGUCUGGUUAAUUCCGAUAACGAACGAGACUCUAGCCGGUUAAGUAGCCCGAGCGGUUUUUGAUCUUUGCCGUUCAUCCCCGUUCGACUUUUGCGUCGUCUCCCUUUUUUCGGUCCGUCUCCGUCGUAUUUUCCGUUUCUCUUCGUUUCCCGAUCGUCCGCCGUCCCGUCGGCUCGUUCGACGGGUGCCGGCGGUUUUCGCGGUUUCGAAGGGGGCGGUGGCGGCGGAACGGUCCGGUCAGGGGGGUAUACGCUCGGUCGUUUCGGGGUGAAAGCAUAACCGAAGGCCGCCGGCUUUUAAGGAAGCUUCUUAGAGGGACGAGCGGCGUUCAGCCGCCCGAGAUUG